CAGCCUCUCUGCGCACGGCCCGCUGCAGCCGUCUUUAAUCUGGAGUACAGUCUUCUGCUUCUGCCUGGAGGCUGAGGUGUCAGUGUGGCCAUUUUGCACCAGGAACUGUGGUCUGACCUGCUGAGUGAGGCUUCUGCCUAUGACCCCCUGUGAACAAGUAACACCAGACUGAGCACAAAGGAAGAAAACAAAGGGGAUCUUCCUGACCCAGGGAUGGAACCCGUGUCUCUUGCUUGGCAGGCGGAUUCUCUACCACUGAGCCACCUGGUGAGGACGCUACUGCUCACCUUUUACUGGUUAGAACUCUGAGGUUGCAGCCAACUGCAUGGGAGGCUGGGAAGUGUAAUCCAGCUGGACCCAGGAAGAAGAGGAACUGCAUUUGGUGAGCAGCUAGCAGUCUGCCACACUUCUGAAGAGAUGCUCAGUGCUCUAGUAACCAGGGAAAUGCAAUUAAAGCUGCAUCAUUGUACAGCACUGUUAGAGCAAGAUAUCAGGACUGGAGGGGGUGGCUUUCACGCUGAAUAUUCUCUUCUCCAUCUCUUCAUUCCAUGCACGUAUUACCUCCAGCAUACCAUCAGUUUACUUUAUAAUGUUCAUUAUUUACAGUUUAUCUUCCAUCUGAUAACUCCACCAGGACAAAGAUAUUUGUCUAUUAGGUUAACUGCUGUGUUCUUAGUGUCCACAGCACUGCCUGAAUGGAGGUGCUUCAGGUGAUGUCCUUCCAAUCGCCGCAGCACAGAGCCCAGGCAUCUGGCAUGUGAGAGCUGUUUGGACGCGUCCGCCCUAUAGCUCUUCCCAGCUAAGGCCCCCGGAUAAGCACGCCUGCUCUGUCAGCCCAGAUUCCCAGUCCAAAGUAUCCAAGAGGAUAACCAAGGACUGUUGUUUUUAGCCUCCAAAGUUGCUUUAGUUUUUAAAGUUGGUUAUUCAGGUAUAGCUUACAUUAUUACAAAAAACUGGAAAAUUCUUAAAGAGGCGGGAAUACCAGACCACCUUACCUGCCUUCUGAGAAACCUAUAUGCAGAUCAAGAAGCAACACUUAGAACCAGACAUGGAACAAUGGAUUGGUUCCAAUUUGGUAAAGCAAUACGUCAAGGCUGUAUAUUGUCACCCUGCUUCUUAACUUAUAUGCAGAAUACAUCAUGAGAAAUGCUGGGCUGGAUGAAUCACCAGCUAGAAUCAAGAUUGCUGGGAGAAAUAUCAACAACCUCAGAUAUGCAGAUGAUAUCACUCUACUGGCAGAAAGCAAAGAGGAACUAAAGAGCCUCUUGAUGAAAGUGAAAGAGGAGAGUAAAAAGACUGGCUUGAAACUCAACAUUUAAAAAACUGAGAUCAUGGCAUCCAGUCCCAUCACUUCAUGGCAAAUAGAUGGGAGAAAAAAAUGGAAACAGUGGCAGAUUUUAUUUUCUUGAACUCCAAAAUCACUAUGAACAGUGAAUGCACCCAUGAAAUUAAAAGACACUUGCUCCUUGGAAGAAGAGCUAUGACAAACAUAGACAGUGUGUUAAAAGAAGAGACAUCAUUUUGCUGGCAAAGGUCUGUAUAGUCAAAACUGUGGUUUUUCCAGGAGUCAUGUAUGGAUAUGAGAGCUGGACCAAUAAAGAAGGCUAAGUGCUGAAGAACUGAUGCUUUUGAACUGUGGUGCUGGAUAAGACUCUUGAGAGUCCCUUGGACUGCAAGGAGAUCAAGCCAGUCAAUCCUAAAGGAAAUCAAUCCUGAAUAUUCAGUGAGAGGACCAAUGCUGAAACUGAAGCUCCAAUACUUUGGCCACCUGAUGUAAAGAGCCGACUCAUUGGAAAAGACCCUGAUGCUGGGAAAGAUUGAAGGCAGGAGGAGAAGGGGCAAACAGAGGAUGAGAUGGUUGGAUGGCAUCACUGACUCAAUGGACAUGAGUUUGAGCUAACUCUAGGAGAUAGUGGAGGAUAGGGAAGCCUGGCUUGCUGCAGCCCAUGGGGUCACAAAGAAUCGGUCAUGACUUAGUGACUGAAUGAUAACAACUUUCAUUAAGUAAAAUUCACUCCUUUUGAGUGUACACUUUGGUGAUAUAUACUUAAGGUUGUGAAAAUGUAUAGUCAUGAAACCGUCAUCACAACCGAGAAAUAAAGCAUUUCAAUUGUCCCUCAAAGUCACCUCCUAGGUCACCAAGCUCCGGCUACACUGUCGCACAGCAGGAGUGGCGGCAGCACAUUCUCUUGGCUUUACUGUGUACUUAUUGGAUGACUGGUUUUCCUGCUCUGGGAAUCGCCUUUCUUGGGAGUUCUGGCUGCGGUCUGUUUUCUCAUUAGACCAGAAGCUCUGUGUAACUUGUUCCUAGUAUAGUUCCUAGCAUGUAGUAGGUGCUCAUUAAAUCACUGUUUAAUAAAUGGAAUGUGACGGAGCAUGAUGGUCUGGAGACUCUGGCUUCAGACACGUGUGAGAAAGUCGCACAGCUUCUCAGCCUCAUUCUGUUUGAAUAUCAGAUAGUCACACUGCCCAUCGGAAGGUGAAAGGCAUACAUAUAUAGCUGGUCUGGAUUAAUGCCCUCAGUCAUGUCUUAAUUUCUAAUAAAUAUUUAUCAAUUCCCUACUGUGUGCUAGGCACUGUCCUAGGUGUUGAGGAUGUGAAGGGGAGCAUAUGUAGAUACAGCCUGUAUGCCGAUGGGGUUUACCAUCUCUGGGGGGAGGCAAGAUGGUAAAUGCGAUGAUCACACACAUAAGUGCCCUGGUAAAUCAUGGCACGUGUCCUAGAACCCACCCCGCCCCCCUCAUCCCAUCAAUGGUCCUACAGUGUUCUCUGGGGCAUGAAUUGCCAUCUUCUCUUAGAAUCAUUGCUCAGGAGGGGAAUUACUCUUCUAUCAUGGUUAUUUGCUAUCAAGGUUAGAGAUGUUCUGAGAAUCAUUCUGUUUAUAGUAAUAGUGGAUUCUUCUGAAAUAAACGCGCAGAAGGCAGAAAUGGGCAAAACCACCAGCUGGUCGGGUCUCUCUAAUAAUCUCUGGCUUUAAAACAACAAAAUAGACCUUUUAGAUAAACUGAGCAGCCUCACAAAGGUUGUCCUGAGAAUUCAACCUGGGGACACUUGCCUGAGAAUACCAGAAAUUUUCACUGCUUCCCCCUUACCCUUCAAUGACUUUAUGCUUGGGAAGGAAGCUUACUGGCUUAUAAAUAUUUCCCAUUAUGGAACUUUCUGGUAAGCUCCUCAAGUAAUUUUAGAUCUCAGCUAGUUUUGUUCUCCCUGCUGCCCAAUACAAUAUCUUCCACGGCUGCCGUACUGAAGCGAUCUAGAGAAAAGAGAAAUUAAGACAAUUUCCUCACGUCCUGUAAGUGUUUGCUUGUGAAUGCAGGCUGUCCUGCUGUUAGAUAAAUCAGAUAUGUAAGAAAACCACGAGAAUCAAAGUUCACAUCCAGUUGGGCGCUUUAGAUGUACAUUGCGAAGGUUGCUACAAAAUGUGAUAAUAUCCUUCCAAGGAUAUGACUAAUGAGACUACGUAUAGCACAUUGGAGACAGCUCAAAUGUGUAAUUAUUGUGAGAAUUUCACAGACACAUAAAUAUAAUGAUCUUCAGCUAAGUAAAUUGCUAGCUACCAAUGAAAUAAAUAGGGUCCCUUCAGAAUUUGAAAUAAUUUGGAGUGGUAGGUGGUGGGAAAUGAUUCACCUUAGCUGCUGUCUCUGGAACAGUAAUACAGAAAUAUAUCUGCCAGCUCUGGUGCUUUUGCAUUGUUCUUCAUUUCCCGUGGAGUUCGUCAGAAGAGCUCUGGGCCCUGCUGCCUUCCGCCCCCUUAUUCUGAUAGGCCUCUGCGCAGCAUGGCUUGGUGCUGGGUAGGAGCAGCUAAUAUUGUUUACCUCGGUCGGCAUGCCAGCCAUAAUAUUUUUCCAAGAAACACUGAUGUGUUUAAAGGUCAGGUUGAUACUGAUUUGACGGAAUAACAUAAAUUCAUCUUUCGAGGAGUAAAAUGGUGUACAUGACUUGGUUUAAAGGUUAAACUGUUUUUUGUGCACUGGGUAGGUCAGAGAUAGAAGACUUUAAUACACAAAGUAUAAUUACCUGUUUAGAUAGACACAGAGAUGUGGACCCGGGUUUGGAUUUUCGGAGAGGUGUCUGAAAACAGGAAUCUAUUGACAUCUUGUCAUUCUUGAAUAUAUUUCAUUCUAAGGGGGAAAAAUUCUACAAAGGUGCUCAGUUAGAAGGAAUAUCUUUUUCCUACUCCUUGUUAGGUGUCUGUUGGGAUUCUAGGAGUUGAGUUUCAGAGCACCAGGAGAGUCUGUCCUCAGAUACAAAAACCCUUCAGGCCCAAUAAACUCCCCAAUACAAAACUCAUACAGUAGGCGAUUCAUUGGUAGAUGAAUGAAUUGGUGGCAGUUUAGUUGCUAAGUUGUGUCCAAAUCCUAUGACCUCCCCUGCCCAUGGGAUUUCCAGGCAAGAACACUGGAGUAGGUUGUCAUUUCCUUCUCCAGGGCGUCUUCCUGACUCAGGUUUUGAACCUGGGUCUCCUGUAUAGGCGGUCUCCUGCCUUGCAGGUGGAUUUUUUUACUGACUGAGCCACCAAUGAAGACAGAUAAGUGAAUUAAAUCCAUCUUUUUAUUUUUUAACCCACACAAUGUGUGUGUUUGUGUGUGUGUGUGUGUGCGCGCGCGUGCACGCUCAGUCACUUUAGUUGUGUCUCUUUGUGACCCCAUGGAUUAUCCAUGGGAUUCUGUGGGCAAGAAUACUGGAGCGUGUUGCCAUGCCCUCCUACAGAGGAUCUUCUCGACCCAGGGAUUGAACCCCUGUCUCUUACGGCGCCUGCAUUGGCAGGAGGGUUCUUUACCUCCAGAGCAACUUGGAAAGCCGGGGGAGUGGUGGUACUUUUAUUCAAAUUAUUUUACUGCCUUCCCCCAGGCAGCAUUCACACGUGAGAAGUUAUCCCAGCCUCUUUCUGCCCCCUUUCUGCCCAAGGGAGCCCUUCAUACCUUUCGUGUAUAUCGGAGCACCAGGUGAGAGCAUGAGCCCAGGGAACACAAUGCAGAGAGAAGGAAUUCUCCACGUGCCCUUUAGCAAUCACACCUCACUCGAAAGUCUCAUUCGUACCACAUUCAUGUGUAUUUUGAUAGGAAUUCCAUGGAAACAGCAGCAGCGUUAGUUUUCUUUUAAAAGGAAUGAAAUUCUAUACAUCGAUAACUCAGACAUAUGCACAAGAAUAUAAACUGGAUGGAGAGAGUUUGGGGAUACAGGUAGCUGAUUCAGUUAGGUUUUCACCUGUGCCCUCUGCCCACCUGAGAUGCCACAUGUCUUCUCUGGUCCUCCAUUGAGCAUCUUGGGGGCGAAGAGUGAGCCCUCAGGGUUCAUUCGAUGAAUGACUGAGUGGGUCACAUGUCAAUACAAGUCAGAGUAAUGCAGUGCCCUGCGGGGAGCACACAGGAGGGUGCAUGACUUCUAGAGAGGCUUCCAGAGGCAGGGGCUUCACAAGGGGUUUCAGGCUGACUCCUAAAGGGCAGACAGGAGGCGGCAGAAUGAGAAAGGGCAGGAAAGUGCCAGGUGGUGUCUGGGGAGUAAGGAAAUCUGUCCAGAGUAGCACACAAAGUGGGGAGGGACGUAUUGGUAGUUGAGAUUUUUUCUUUUUUUUUAAGUAGUUGAAAAGUGGUUCCUCUUCUAUAUUUUAAAGCACAAGAAUGACAAUUUUCAGUCCAAAUUGCAAACAGGAAUACUGGAGUGGGUUGCCAUUUCCUCCUCCAGGGGAUCUUCCUGACCCAGGGAUUGAACCCAUGUCUCCUGCAUUGCAGGCAGAUUCUUUACCUGCUGAGCAGUCGGGGGAGUCUGAUGGGAGUGAAGGCUUUGUAUAUCCCCAGAAAUGAGAUGGGAAUAUUGGUGGAGGAUCUAUCAGGAGGUGGGCCCUGGGUUUCCCCUGGAUCCCAUCCCAAGAGUAAGUGUCUCUGUCUCACUGAGUCACAGUUAAAUCCCCCUCUCCUCCCUGAGGCCACUGCCACCCAUUUGGACAAAUAAGGAAGCUGAAGCAUGGAAGACAGGCAAUGACUGGCCCAGCAGGAGGGGUAGCACGUGGGCAGGUCUUUUCCUGCUGGAUCUCACUAGGAAUCUGUCCAGUUCCCUCUUGGGAGUGGAGUGGCCAGGGCAGGCCCUGCAUGCGUGGCCUAGGCAUCCCACAGAGCAUCUAGAGUAGGGACAAAGAAGGCUCCUAGAGGCCAGUUCCUGCCCUGGGCCCCUGUCCAGAGCAAAGACAAGAGGACUCUGAAGACCCUCAGGAUGCAUUCUGUCAAGGGUUGCUGAGCGUCUGCUGUUGCCCCAAGGAUGCACACUCAGGAUUUCCCGGAAGGUGUCUGAAUAGUUGCCUGUGAUACAUCAGCCUCCCUAAAAAAUGUGUCACGGCCACAACUCACCCUACAGAUGUAGGACUGAAGCCAGGGAUCGCCCACUAACAGUGCAGGGUGGGGAGGGGGUCCCUGGAUUUCUGCUUGAGUCAUCGACAGUGGGGAGCAGCUGGAAGCCGCGAGGACUGGCUUUUUCCAGUAUUUUCUAAAGCAAGCAGGCAAGCUGGUGAGCGCCAUUGUGAGGAGGUAAUAACUCAGCCGGAAACAAGUGUCAUGAUUCACAUGUCAUGGCUAAUGUCUAGCUAAUAUCCCCCAGCAGGGAUGAGCAAUUACAAAUUCCUGAAUUAUCUUCCCUGUCUGUACCUCAAACAAACAAGCAAUCAUCUGUUUCCUUAGCUAACCUCCCCUGGGGUGAGAUGGCUGAAAGGUUGAGAGAGACUGGGCCUCCGAGGUGGAGGCCUGGCGUUGCCACUUCCUGGCUGCGCGUCCUGGGCAAGUUCCUGCGAGGUCCCCAUGUAAUAAUUAUUCUCAUAUCUGUAAUAAUAUACUUGUCCCAUAGGGUUACUGUGAAGAUUAAAGAUGAUUAUUUGCUAAAAGUUCCUUGCACAUAUAAGCAUAUAAUAAACAUUAGCUGUUAUUUUUAACUGAAAAUUAAAUUUUAAAAAUUAGGAUAUGGAUAUUAAUAGAUAAAAGUAAGCUUAGAUUUCACAAAUAUGUUUAAUUUUCCAAGUUUUAUGUUUUAACAAGAGAGCCAAAUUGAAUCAACAGUUACACAUGCCAACUCCUCUGGCCAAGCAAGAAAGCUAAAACAAAAUUGCUUUUGGAUUUGGCAAAUAUAUUGUGUUCUUCAGCAGUUGCUCCCAGGGGCUCAGGUCAUCAGCUAGGCUUUUGUUAUUUGCACAUUUCAAGAAAGACCCAAAUAGAAAUGGCCAGGGUUGGGGGAUAUUCAGCAUCUCACAUUUAUAAAAUCAAACCUUUUUAUUUUUUCAUAGACAAUGCUUCAUGUAAUCCUUCCUUGGAAUGCUAAUGAGAUGCCAGGAGAUUUCUAGGUUUUUCCAUGGGGUUGUAUUUAGAAAUAGACUGAUUUGUGUUUAAAGAUGGAGUGUGUGUCUUGCCCUCUUGAGCUCUUCAUAUCAAAGGCCAUCACCGUGAGGACUGUGACUGGGAUCCUGGGGUGUCCCUGGGCAGUCUGGGUUCAAGUUCUUCAUUAUUUGUGAUUCUUGGUUUUCACAGAUAUUGAAAGUGGUGGUUUAGCAGUGAGUGCUUCCUUUUCUUCGAUUAUAAAUAAUUCAGAUAGGAAAUAGACUCACCCACAGCAGCCUUAGCAAAGGAAGAUCUGUUGGACUGCAGCAUGGAAGGCUGAGGAAUCUGGGUCUCCAGGCUGAGUGGUUCUCACCAGAGUGGGGACAGUGAUGGGACAGUCACGUGGCCUUUCCCAGGACCCCCCUCCAUCUCUUUUUGCAUCUGCCCAGAUCUCUCUCUUCCCUCCCCUGGGUUCCCAGUCUCCUUUCCAUCACCAGCCACACAUGACCCAUCACAACUUCCCCAGCCCCCUCUACACAAACUCGCAAUUAAUCUCCACAGCCAACUGCCCCCAUCUCUUAGUUUUCUCAUGCUGACUUUUUGAGAAAGGAAUUGCAUUGGCUCAGCUCACCUUAUCAAAUGAAGGCUACAGAUCCUGAGUUACUGACCAGCCUGUAGAGGGGCUCCCUUGAGAUCAGUGGUCUGCCUGGGUUCAGGGAAGAGGUGGACUGGGGGAAGAGAGAGGAGAAUGCAUUUCCCUGCAUAAACGUUUGGGAGGGCGGGCAGCAUGAAACCACCCAGAAAAUGCCCAAAGACCAGUCCUGCAUCUAGACCCUUCCUGCCUCUUUCCCACAUGCCAAGAAGGUUGUUGACACUUAAGAAAGCCUCUGGAGCCUUCUCUCUACUUGGACCAGCUCCAUCUAUAUAUCCUUGUCUAUACAGGCUUUUCUGAUUGUUUUGUUAGUGUUGCCCUGGCCAGAUGGAGUGAAGAACUUGGGCAGGGGGAUGAGACUUGGCCUGUGCAUCUGAAGAGAAGUUCCCGUCUCUGCUCCUUUCCUUCCUCAUCCAGUGCCCUCAUCUCUCUGAGCCCAGGUUUUUGCAUCUACUACAGGAUGUAUUGAAAGCUUCUGUCUUCCUGGGAUAUUGGCGAAAAUUAGGUUAGAUACAGGCUUUGAAAUCGGUAAGAGCUUUUCAAGUGUGACAUUAUUGUGAACAAGCAGAGGAAAGUGGGAGGGAGCCUCUUCCUUUUGAAGGAUCCCUUCCCCUUCCCCGCAUGUCCCCAAGCUAGAGUUCGGCAGUGAGGGUCUCACUUUUCGGGGCAUGAGGAGGGUUGUGGCUACGGCUGGACCAGGCCAUCUGAUCUGCCAGUUUGAAGAUGGCUGCAGUUUCCUCUGCAGAAGGGCUCAUUGGCUGACACUCAGUAGCAGACAAUGUCCCCCACUUCCUCCCAGCUCUUCUCUUUGGGGACACAGGCCUGAGCCUAUCCCCUCACUGCCUUCUCAUCGUAUGAGAG
ensembl:lncRNA